rnacentral:rRNA from 28 species
ACAACUUUCAGCAACGGAUCUCUUGGCUCUCGCAUCGAUGAAGAACGCAGCGAAAUGCGAUAAGUAAUGUGAAUUGCAGAAUUCAGUGAAUCAUCGAAUCUUUGAACGCACCUUGCGCUCCUUGGUAUUCCGAGGAGCAUGCCUGUUUGAGUGUCAUGA